rnacentral:rRNA from 1 species
GUUAGGAAUCUUCCACAAUGGGGGCAACCCUGAUGGAGCAACACCGCGUGCUGGAUGAAGGCCUUCGGGUCGUAAACAGCUUUUGUAUACGAAGAAUAUGACGGUAAUAUACGAAUAAGGGUCGGCUAACUACGUGCCAGCAGCCGCGGUCAUACGUAGGACCCAAGCGUUAUCCGGAGUGACUGGGCGUAAAGAGUUGCGUAGGCGGCUUAUUAAGCGAGUAGUGAAAUCUGGUGGCUCAACCAUCAACACAUUGCUCGAGCUGAUAGGCUUGAGAAUGGUAGAGGUAGUUGGAAUUUCUUGUGUAGGAGUGAAAUCCGUAGAUAUAAGAAGGAACACCAAUGGCGUAGGCAGACUACGGGACCAUUUCUGACGCUGAGGCACGAAAGCGUGGGGGGCGAACCGGAUUAGAAACCCGUGUAGUCC